ACGGGUGAGUAACGCGUGGGAAUCUACCCAUCUCUGCGGAAUAGCUCUGGGAAACUGGAAUUAAUACCGCAUACGCCCUACGGGGGAAAGAUUUAUCGGGGAUGGAUGAGCCCGCGUUGGGUUAGCUAGUUGGUGGGGUAAAGGCCUACCAAGGCGACGAUCCAUAGCUGGUCUGAGAGGAUGAUCAGCCACAUUGGGACUGAGACACGGCCCAAACUCCUACGGGAGGCAGCAGUGGGGAAUAUUGGACAAUGGGCGCAAGCCUGAUCCAGCCAUGCCGCGUGAGUGAUGAAGGCCUUAGGGUUGUAAAGCUCUUUCACCGAUGAAGAUAAUGACGGUAGUCGGAGAAGAAGCCCCGGCUAACUUCGUGCCAGCAGCCGCGGUAAUACGAAGGGGGCUAGCGUUGUUCGGAAUUACUGGGCGUAAAGCGCACGUAGGCGGAUAUUUAAGUCAGGGGUGAAAUCCCGCAGCUCAACUGCGGAACUGCCUUUGAUACUGGGUAUCUUGAGUAUGGAAGAGGUAAGUGGAAUUCCGAGUGUAGAGGUGAAAUUCGUAGA
rnacentral:rRNA from 1 species